CAAUAGCGUAUAUUAAAGUUGUUGCGGUUAAAAGCUCGUAGUUGGAUUUCUGCCGAGGACGUCCGGUCCGCCCUCUGGGUGAGUACAUGGCACGGCCUGGGCAUCUUCUUGGGGAACGUAUCUGCACUUGACUGUGUGGUGCGGUAUCCAGGACUUUUACUUUGAGGAAAUUAGAGUGUUUAAAGCAGGCUCGCGCUAUGAAUACACUAGCAUGGAAUAAUAACUUAGGACUUUAGUCUUAUUUUGUUGGUUUCUAGGACUGAAGUAAUGAUUGAUAGGGAUAGUUGGGGGUGCUAGUAUUCAGCGGCCAGAGGUGAAAUUCUUGGAUUCGCUGAAGACUAACUUAUGCGAAAGCAUUCACCAAGGAUGUCUUCUUUAAUCAAGAACGAAAGUUGGGGGAUCGAAGACGAUCAGAUACCG
rnacentral:rRNA from 1 species